rnacentral:lncRNA from 1 species
UUAACACUGUGGAGACGGAAGAGGGCACAACACCAGAGUACAGACCUUGACUCCCAGACAGAGGAUUCAAGGCCCUUUAUGGAAUCUUCUAGAUCUCGGCCUGGAUGCCUGAAGAAGCACGAGAGGUGUCUGAGCCUGGGAGGGACGCCUGUGAGCUGGGCCUUAGAAAGACACCCCUGGGGGCAGCCAGACUGGAGGCCCAGAGGGAGGCAGCACCCGGGGCUACUUUAGGAUCAUGCUUUCCAGAUCCUCCCAACACAGAAAAGAGGUGGCUUUUGGAAGGUGUCCAGAGGUAUUUGUGGAGUAGAAUGGAAUACUGAAGUAGAAGAAUGCCCUUAACGGUGGGCUGUGGAGGGGGACAGGGCCAGAGAAAAGAUUGGGAAUAGAAGUUUGGUGAGCAGCAGGGACUCCAUACUGGGGGCGUUUCUAGGUCUGACAGUUUCGGGGAACAUCACGACCCCACGGGAUAGUGGUGUUCAGAGUGAAGAGACAUCCCUCUCUCUUCUCCUCUUUCUCCAGGCAGGACAUUCUUGGGGAGCCCCAAAAACCCCGACCUGAGAAAGCUCUAGAAGCACAGCAUUAGCUCACCACCCACCCCGUACGUCUUGAGUGCUUUGCGAUACCACAGGGUUGUCUGUGACACGUCCAGCCCAGCACUGCCCUGCUCUGCCUGCCUGUCUUUGGGAGGAUGGAUCUGAGGUUCAUGAACACUCCACUUCUCCUCUUGUAGGAUUCUCUCCAGUAAAGCCUCCCCUGCAUUUUAUACCACAUGGACUAAGGUGACCGCCAUGAUGAAAGACCAGAUUCUCAUGAAGAAACCGUUUGUGAAGGAUUUUGAUCAGGCAACAUGGGCAUGCAGGUUUAAACACAGCCCCCAGCCUUCCAUGCCUGGCAAGCCACUUUCUCCUAUGUUCAUGCAUGUCUAGAUUUCUCAAUGAAAAACGUAGUUGAACUCAUGAAAGCCUAUCUUUAAAAAAUAUUAAAUAGCUAAUCUUAUAAACCCCUAUACACAGUGUCAGUUCACUUUUUUCAUAAAACAUGCCUAGUGGAAUGGCAACAACUGGGAAAAAUUCAGAGCUCAGCAUUUAUGUAUUGAAAAUAUCUCUUAAGUGGCUAUAGGUGUUGGUUUAUAAACUCCAGAAAUA